AAUCGUUCUAUUGAUUCGUGCAAGAGAGAGACCAGACAGGAGCGUGGCGACAUUGCCAGCCGUGGAAGAAAUAGGUAGGAGCGAGGUAGAGAGAGAGAGAGAGCGCACCACUCUGCUCAUCGUUGUCUCCUCCUUCUGUGCGACAUGGACAUCGUAGCUGGCAUGGCCACCGCUGUCGUCGACGGCCCACUCAAAAAUUAAACCAUUCCCCGUCCCAAAGCCGCCACGCACCGGCGCUACAUACUGCCGGCAGCGCAGCGACUCACCCGCUGACGGGCUUUCCCUCCCAUGCCACAUGUCCUCCCUCUUACGCUGAUCCUGUUCAAUGCAUGGAGGCGUCGAUCUAGACCCCGUGGACACGAUGACCUGGAUCCACUCUCUCCCACGCCUCCCUCCUCUAAUUCCUACCGCCCACACCCAUUAGUUUUUCCUCUCUGAAUUGCAGCAUGAAGGAGGAAAAACUAAUGUUGCAAUUCAGAGAGGGCGAGUAGUAUCUAUCAACAGCGUGCAGGAGGGCGAGUAGUAUCUAUCAACAGCGGCAACAUAAUCACAUUUGUGACGGCGGUUUCUUGGCUGUAGUGAAUAGAAAUUUUGGUGUGGUGGCCAAAUGCUUUACUGUUUGGCAGACUUGUUCAUCAUUGCUGUAGCAUGGAGACUCCUUCCAGCUAUUGAUUAAAUAUGUUAUCUUGCCCAAUACUUUCCUCAUGUGGCUGUUAUGACGAGCACCUUUCUUUGUGGCGGUGAUGUAUUAAAUAAUCUCUAACAAAUUAAUACGCUUAAAUGGUGAUGCCACUGCUCAAAUCCAAACACUGAAGAACGCAUAUAUAUUGCAUGGUCUGCCAUCGGAGCACCUUUGGAGGAAGAAGUUCACCUCAAGCCAUCGGAGUGAAAUUCUCAUUGCCAUAACCAGCUUUCACAGGGAAGCAUAAGGGUCAAAAGAGUGAGGACCUUAACGCGCAAUAGCGUGGACCAGUGGACGAGGAUGAUAUCAUGGAGUCAGGAGAAAGGCUUGUUGGAAGUAGAAUAUAAUGAGGCAAUGUUAUGUUCUUUUUUCUAUUAAUUAACUUUACAGUGAUAUGUGUUGAAAGCCUGAAAGUGUAGGCCAUACCAAGGUUGAUGACAUCAAAAUGAUGUAAACAAUUAUCCAUCUCUUGAUUCAUUGCAGAUCUGAAAUUUGGAAAAGGCAAUAUUAAUCUUCCCCACUAAAUGGUUGUAUUAUGCCCCCAGUAUCAAUGAGUCCUGGUUUACAAAGAGUCGGACUCACAGACGUUGAUCCAAGCACUCAAUGCCGGUGAUUUUUAUGUGGCGGAUUAUGGUGUACUACCUCAUAAUGUGAGGAGUACCUGCAUGGCGACCGUCUGAUAGGCAUGAGUUUAUCUUUUGCUGUUUUCAUGUAAUUCUGUUGCCCAUGCCAUAGCGAAAUUUGGGUACCAUUCGGCUACGGCUUCUAUAUUCUGGCUAGAGUCUAACCCAGACUUUGUAUCAAUUUUGGUUGCCAAUGACUCUGCUGAGCUUCUUGGUUAAUGAAAUCAUUUGAAAAUA